GAUUGUUUUGCUCCCGUCCAAUGUUGUAGGUAUAUAGACUCGACACGCUCAGUGCUGCAAGAUGGGCUUUCGGGUUCAUACGUAAAUUUAGGGUGCUUCGAUGCCUUUUCGGACUGGCUCCAUCGUCUCUUUGCCGCCGGAUUCUCGGUAUGCGACAGCAGGCACGCUGAUUCUCGACACGCUGGAGCAAGGAAUCCUAACCAACCGCUAUCGUGAUGCAGUUCAUACGGACACGCCGCCACGCUUCCCAUGUCAUGACGUGUACUGUGCGCAAAUCACACAUGUUUCAUGCUGUGGAUCUUUCGAGUUCAGGGCAAGUCGAGGGCGCGGUCGUGCACGCCGCUGGAUAGACGAGAGACCAAAACUCGACGACGUGGCUUGAGGACGUGUUCAGGAGCGCGCGCCGCAUACUCCCUGGACCUGGAACGUCAGCAAGCAAUCGAUCCGGUUCGAGACACAAAACCUCAUCCCUUUGUCGCUGUGGAAGAAACGGCAGUCCACAGCCGAACGAAACCGCUCACGGGACGUGCCUCCAGAGACUCCUGUCUCCAGUGCUUGCAACGAAAAGCAUCUUGAGCACGGCGUGCUGUGGACCCAGCGAUAUCCUGCAGAGGAGCUUGGGUCAUCACUCUGCACAAGCGGAGCGUAGAUCGAUCGGUAUGUCUCGACAGUAUAUGCAAACUGCGCAUUCCUUCCGGUACUUGUUUCAUCAUGGAAAAAUUCGCUUUCUGCAAAUCCACAACUGCAAAGCACAUCAUGCGCUUUCGUGUGCAGUGGAGAGCGUACUCGAGGAGUGGAUCCCCCAGAAGAAGCACAUGGUUGUAGGGCACGGCAACGGGCGCGGAAACGGGAGCGGGUAUCCACUGACACCUUCUGUACGCUUCGAGGACGGUUCCUGAGCGAUGAUGCUGGCCUUGACGCGACCCAGGGCGGCUAUCGGGAACGGAGGCACGAUGGACAUAUGGGGGCACCUUAUCACAGGCAUGCGUCAGCGGUACAAAGCGCCCACCGAAGCUGUCUGCAAUGAAGAUGAUCAUGGCGAGCAAAACGUUGAUCGCAACUACCUUCUGUGCAUGAAAUGCCUCGACAGCAACUCGAAAUUGCGGCAUCGUACCACUACCGUUGCCAUCAAUAUCCAUCCACUACUGAAACCGAAGCUCGAAUGACACAGGAGACCUGCACACCCAGCGCAGAAGCUUGCCGAAGGUAUACGAAAGACAUUACCGAACGAGCGCGCAAAGACCAGUUUUGGUAACAGCCGGAUAUACUCAACCACUCAUUUGAACGCCAGAAUAGGCUGGUUGAAAUCGUUUCACUUCAUUCUGCCACGAUUGUGAGGAUGCGUUGGAUAAACCUGUUUCGUGAUACUCGAAUUGGUUCUUUAGGAAACGCAAUCGAACUUUUUCCUACGAUUUUGGCACAAAAGCAUGACUUGUCUGUGACGCUAAAUAUUUUGUGAAGUAAGCGCAUACAUAGUCUGCACUGCGACGAGGUUAUCGAGCUUGCUGUCUGCCUUUCUACGACGGCUGAGACCCAGACGCCUUAUUCCGCUCGUACCGGGUGAAUUGGAUUACAGGCACGAAAGAACAUUUUGCUUCAGGUCCAACAUUGAUUUCAUGUACCCGUGCAACCCACUGCAGCGUGCUCCGUUCAAAGCGCAGAGCACGGUUUGUUUUGAGGUCGAACAAUCCUCCUUGACAUCCGUGGAACGUACUCUGGCUUGCGUCAAUGCACAGAGCACUCAUCAUGGUCUUCAGAGAUCUUGUCGCAUAGUUUCCAGGACGGAAACUCGGGUUCUAAAUAGCGAUAUCUGGCCCGGAAUGCAAUGCACCUAGCACCGCCACCGCCGCCACCGCCACCACCAGCAGCAGCAGCAUCAGUAGAAGUAGAAGUAGUUCGCGCCUCAUUUCGAUGAGGCUCGUCCCCUUCUCUUGACAUAAACUUUACG
rnacentral:misc_RNA from 1 species